rnacentral:piRNA from 1 species
UAUCGAAACUGUGAGACUGACAC